GGUGUCGUGGUGUAGUUGGUUAGCACGUCAGUUUCACUCUCUGAAGAUCUCCGGUUCAAAUCCGGACGACGCCA